AGUUGUAAACUUGUUAGGCCUGGGUCUCCUAUUUUAUGCUAUAUGCGGCGUCCGACUUUGGCGUAAACGUUUUGAUCAACGUCCUACGGCCUACCUACGGCGUCUACGCGCCAACGUCGGCGUGUGAGGGAGACCGCAUCAGUACAUUUCUAUAGUGAGCAUCGUGACGAGGCCUACGGCGUGACGC